UACAGCUCGUUGAGUGCGGUCUUAGUGCCAGCAUCGGUUUUAUGGUGAUAAAUAGAUGGCUACGAAUAAUAUAGAUGAGAACUCUCUUCGUUGACAGUGUGGUCUACAGCUUAUCAUGGGGUAUUCUACCUCAGCCGAGCUAUACCUCGAGACUUCUUUAAUAUUAUACAUCGCCACCAGCAGUUAUUGACAAAUAGACACACACACCCGCCCCUCAUCUUACCAGACGUAGCCACAUAUAAGGGCAAAAGGCGAGACCCAGAUGCAGACACAGGAGGCAGAUGGUUCGAGUCUGUCGUUUAUUUAUAAUCUAAAAGGAGUAGGCAAGAGAAUGGUCGUAGACAGGCAAAAGGUCAAAACCAGAUUCUGAGACCAAAAGGUAAAGAGUGGCAGACAGGCUCGAUGUCAGGGCAGGCAGAAGGGUCAGGCAGGUGGGUACGGAGUCCAGAAAAACAGGCAAUGGUCAAAACCGGGAAGACUAGAAAAAGAGAAUAUAAAACAGGAGCAUGGGAAAAACACGCUGGCUGUCUUGAAAACAUACAAGACGAACUGGCACAGAGAGACAGGAAACGCAGGGAUAAAUACACUGGGGAAAAUAAGCGACACCUGGAGGGGGUGGAGACAAUCACAAGAACAGGUGAAACAGAUCAGGGCGUGACACUGCAUGUCCUGCUGAUACAUGGAGAAGUUAGCCAGCGCUAUAUUAUCCGUGUCGUCGUUCAGCCAAGUCUCGUGGCUGAACGACGAUAUUAAGAACAUACAGCUGAAGGGUUAUACACUCUAUCGGUAGAACUGCAGCCUCUGAGUGAAUACACAUGUCCCCGUCCACUACCUGGAGCUUGGCUUGGAGACAUACCCACCAUUCACUAGGAGACAUGUACGUUUUACCAGCCAGUUGCUAACAAGAAGAGGAAUCAGGGCCUACAACACUAUGGCUACCCCAUUACUGUCUGUCCUAACAUUACGGUGGCACUCUCUAAACAUCUGCUACAGACAUAUGUCAAACUAUACCUCAAAAGGCCCAUGGACAACCUAAUUUGGAAGCAAGAAUGACUUUCAUGAUUUCUACCACUCUGAAUAUUUAUGUUUUCUUUUACAAGGUCUAUAUACUCUUUCUGUAUCUUAGGUUCUCAGCUGCCCUACAGCAGUGUUCAUCCAACUAUGACUAAGGUUGCUGUUAAAGCAUUGGCCAUGUUAACUCUUUGAUUGGCCAAUUAGGCUGGUCCAGAUUGAGGGGGUUUGGAACACUUCACGUCUGCAGCACCUCUCUGACCGUUGGCAUGGAAACUUGGGACUCUGAUGGGGCGGCCUGUGCCACGAUGGGCGGUGUCACUCUGCUGGAGGCUGGCGAAGUGAAAAUGGGCUGUGGAGCAUAUGGACCAUUACAGUUAAUGAAGGUGACUAGUGGACAGGGCGAUGGCCGUCCAGACGCAGAUUGUCCCUUCUUUCCCGGCUAGGAACCACAGGCUUCACAGUGAAGUGUCAGCCCAGCAACGUUUUGAUGAUGUGCACUGAACAAGUAGCUCUGACUGCCUAGCAAAAUUAUAAUGUGCAAACUGCUGUGUGUAAUUUAAAAUACAUGUCCAUGGUUUUUCUUUGCUG
rnacentral:lncRNA from 1 species